CACCAACAGAGCCUCGUCCAGCAGCAGCAACACCACCUGCAAACACUGAUACAACAAAAGAAAAAGGUUCCAACAAGAAACCCGGAGAGGACGAGACGGCUCCUUACCUGUGGCCGUCUGUUCGUAUGGGGAUUGGGAUACUCUGUUUAAUCAUCAUGACCAGCAUCACUGUCACUACCUGGAGAAAAGCUCGACAGAAACAGAAAAUGAUCUGUGAUCCUCCAUCACACAGAAACGAGAGGGGUAACAACUGAACCGUCUUCAGCGUCCAUCCUCAUGCAGCGCGACAGUCUUUCAGCUUUCAACCCAGUACUAUUAAACAGUACUUCAUAGACGUGCAGUAGUCAUACUAGUUUGUCACCUUUUAAAAUAGCUUUGUUUAUCUGAGGCUUUUACACUUCCUUUGUACUGUGUACUCAGGGGCGGACGUGUAAAUGAGGGGCGGAGAUGUAAAUAUGAGGGGGGAAUAAAGUAGGAGGAAAGAGAAAUGAGUGUUUGCCAAAACAAGAGGAAUGUAGAAGAAUAGAAAUGUUGGCACAAAAAGCAGCUAAAUGCACAUUUUCUGUGGUGGAAAGGUUGCAGUGGCAGGACCCAGCAGCAGCAGGGACAUGUGCACGAUUAGUAUGCAUUAAGCAUUUAUGUAUAGGCAAGUAUAUUGUAUAUUUUUAUAUUCUCGUGCAUAUGUAGCUGUACAAUCAGAGGCAGGGUCCAGCGGGGGAAGCUGAGCCAGGGAGAGGCCUAUUCAGAGCUUAAGUGUUCCUGCUCAGGCUUGCUUGACCCGGUCUUGUGCAGUGCAGGGGUGACUUGCUCAUACUAACGUAGGAGGCAGGUGUCAAUUUCAAUUUUCUUGAAGGUCUUCAGCAUAAUCUGAUUCUCUUUUUACCACAAAAACAUUGUUAGUGUUGAAAUAACUGCAAAAAAAUAAAAAAUAAAUCUCUCUCCUGGAGCCUAAAGGGCGCUCGUGUAAAAGGCCUCUCCGUCUUAAAGUCCAGGGCUGAAUUUCAGUCCCAGCACAUCCCUGAGUGUACUGCUUAGCUGCUAAUGUUAGCAUUUCCAAUUUUUAACCACAGUGUGAACACAAUUAGGUAAUUACAAUAUUUUGUGUGGUUAUGUUACAAACAUCCCUGUUCAGUACUGAAGAAUCUGCUGCUGAGAUCCUUAACUUUUGUAAAAGUGAAACAUUUGUGAACAUGUAAUAAAACAUAAAUGUGA